AACGCUGGCGGNAGGCCUAACACAUGCAAGUCGAGCGGAAACGAUCCUAGCUUGCUAGGAGGCGUCGAGCGGCGGACGGGUGAGUAAUGCAUAGGAAUCUGCCCGGUAGUGGGGGAUAACUUGAGGAAACUCAAGCUAAUACCGCAUACGCCCUACGGGGGAAAGCAGGGGCUCUUCGGACCUUGCGCUAUCGGAUGAGCUUAUGUCGGAUUAGCUGGUUGGUGAGGUAACGGCUCACCAAGGCGACGAUCCGUAGCUGGUCUGAGAGGAUGAUCAGCCACAUCGGGACUGAGACACGGCCCGAACUCCUACGGGAGGCAGCAGUGGGGAAUAUUGGACAAUGGGGGCAACCCUGAUCCAGCCAUGCCGCGUGUGUGAAGAAGGCCCUCGGGUUGUAAAGCACUUUCAGCGAGGAAGAAUGCUUGUCGGUUAAUACCCGGCAAGGGAGACAUCACUCGCAGAAGAAGCACCGGCUAACUCCGUGCCAGCAGCCGCGGUAAUACGGAGGGUGCGAGCGUUAAUCGGAAUUACUGGGCGUAAAGCGUGCGUAGGCGGCUUGAUAAGCCGGUUGUGAAAGCCCCGGGCUCAACCUGGGAACGGCAUCCGGAACUGUUAGGCUAGAGUGCAGGAGAGGAAGGUAGAAUUCCCGGUGUAGCGGUGAAAUGCGUAGAGAUCGGGAGGAAUACCAGUGGCGAAGGCGGCCUUCUGGACUGACACUGACGCUGAGGUACNAAAGCGUGGGUAGCAAACAGGAUUAGAUACCCUGGUAGUCCACGCCGUAAACGAUGUCGACUAGCCGUUGGGGUCCUC
rnacentral:rRNA from 1 species